rnacentral:rRNA from 1 species
GACGAACGCUGGCGGCGUGCUUAACACAUGCAAGUCGAACGGAAAGGCCCUGCUUUUGUGGGGUGCUCGAGUGGCGAACGGGUGAGUAACACGUGAGUAACCUGCCCUUGACUUUGGGAUAACUUCAGGAAACUGGGGCUAAUACCGGAUAGGAGCUCCUGCUGCAUGGUGGGGGUUGGAAAGUUUCGGCGGGUGGGGAUGGACUCGCGGCUUAUCAGCUUGUUGGUGGGGUAGUGGCUUACCAAGGCUUUGACGGGUAGCCGGCCUGAGAGGGUGACCGGCCACAUUGGGACUGAGAUACGGACCAGACUCCUACGGGAGACAGCAGUGGGGAAUAUUGCACAAUGGGAGGAAGCGUGAGGAAGCAACGCCGCGUGCGGGAUGACGGCCUGCGGGUUGUAAACAGCUUUCGCCUGUGACGAAGCGGGAGUGACGGUAAUGGGUAAAGAAGCACCGGCUAACUACGUG